UUAGAGGAAGUAAAAGUCGUAACAAGGUCUCCGUUGGUGAACCAGCGGAGGGAU
rnacentral:rRNA from 1 species